rnacentral:rRNA from 1 species
GUUGAACGCUGGCGGCAGGCCUAACACAUGCAAGUCGAGCGAGCGGCGGACUGGAGAGUAAUGUCUGGGAACCUGCCUGAUGGAGGGGGAUAACUACUGGAAACGGUAGCUAAUACCGCAUCCCAUCAGAUGUCCCCAGAUGGGAUGAGCUAGUAGGUGGGGUAACGGCUGACCAAGGCGACGAUCCCUAGCUGGUCUGAGAGGAUGACCCGCCACACGGGAACGGAGACAGGGUCAAGACGCCUACGGGAGGCAGCAGGGGGGAAUAUUGAACAAUGGGCGCAAGCCUGAUGCAGCCAUGCCGCGGGUGGGAAGAAGGCCUGCGGGUUGGAAAGCACUUGCAGCGGGGAGGCGGUACCCGCAGAAGAAGCAACGGCUAACUCCGUGCCAGCAGCCGCGGUAAUAC